CCUAAAACCCUAAACGCUGGCCCAUAAUAGCUUUAGCCAAAAGUUCUCACAUCACCCGUUGUCCUCUCAUUUUCUUGGCAUUAGUUCGAACUCCCAAAUUUCUUACAAUCGAUCUCAAAGAUGGCUUCCAAGUGCAGCAGAAUAAUUAACAGGGCUUCAAUAUCGUCCUUCAAAUCCGCCAUUAAAUCGAAUAUUCAAACAGCUUCCAAAGCUUCCAUAGACAGACCUUCGACCAAAUCGACAUCAUCACCACUUCGCCGAUUCUCUCUCUCCAGGUCUUUCGAUAUAUAUAUAUAUAUANNNNNNNNNNNNNNNNNNNNNNNNNNNNNNNNNNNNNNNNNNNNNNNNNNNNNNNNNNNNNNNNNNNNNNNNNNNNNNNNNNNNNNNNNNNNNNNNNNNNAGUCAUUCAAUUCGUUUGUUUUUUAAAAAAAUUGUCUGAAUAACUGCACUAGUCAGCUAUUCAGACGAUUUAAACUGAAUAAUUUAGUCCAAUUUUUUUAGCGGCUGAAAGUUGUUUUUUUUACAAUAUUAACUAAUAUAUUAAAUAAAUUUAUUAUAAUUUUUUGAGAAUUUUUUAGAGGAUAAAAUAAUAAAAAUAUGUUAUUCAGAUAUGUCAAUUAUCAAAAACUUUUUUCAUUCAAAUUCAAAUUCAAAUUCAAAUUCAAAUUCAUUCAAUUUUUAUCAAACACACCUAAAUAUAGUUUGCUUCGCGUCUGGUUAAUAAUCAAGUGACACUUGACAUGACACGCAUGAUUUGGUAAAACCGUAAAAUUUACACCCUCGCCCAACAAAAGUAGUUACAUUUAUAAAAUUUGUAAACAUUAAGUAUAUAUGUAUUCUCUUCUCCCAUAUUUUUGCCCUUAAUAUUAUAAAUUAUUGGCGUAUAAUUGGUAGUAUAAUAAUAAAAUUAUGGUGAUAAAAAUAGCCAUUUGUUUUUUUGGGAGAAACAGUAAGAUAUGACAACUAAGGCUAUUUUUGUGGAAUCAUGGGAGUAUAACUUAUUGUGAUAUUAAAUAUUAUUAAAACACCGUUUCAAAAGGGAUUAAAGAUAAUUUUCAUAAUUUACUAAGAUAAAUAUUUUAUUUAGGAGUGCUUUAAUAAGAAUGAAAUGUAAGGAUGAAAAUGAUUCCAAAUCAAUUCGAAAAGUACCUUACUUAAAUUAUACUACUAUGAAAUUUUUUUCAGGUACUCAAAUUUGUACAGGAAUUCGAAUAAAAUUUUGUAAUUUUUGCUUAAGUUAGAAUUUGACUCAUUUUAUUGUACACGAGUUCAAAUUAAAAUCUCUAGCCAUGUACAUAAAAUAACCAUGUCAUGUAAUGAUGCACUAUAAUUGAUUUCUUAGGUUAAAUUCUAAAUGAGUACAAUAGUUUAAAGCAUGUUUUGGACACAAUGAUAUAUUAUGCCAGUCCAAUAAACUUUUUGAUUGUGUCUAUAUAUAUAUAUAUAUAUAUAUAUUGUGAGGAGCUCUUGGUCAAUAUAGGAUCCCGUUAUUAUGAAAUUGAAGUUAAUUUCAUGAUAAAUUGAUUAAUUUGACUAAGCAUAAGAGAGAUCAUCUCAUAAUUUGUAUAGUAACACUAUAUUAAUCAAUUAAUAAAAAUUAAUUUCAUGUUAACCACUUACGUCAAUAUAUAAUGUUACUCCACAUUCCACAUGCAUGCAUUAUAAGCAUUUUAGGGGAGCUAAAAAGUGUAACAAACAAUGCAGGAGAAGGUUGUUUUUUAAAACUUUUCAAAAAAAAGAAGAAGGUUUAUUUUUAAAUAAUGAAUUGAAAGCAGCACAAUUAUCAUAAAAUCUUCUCACUUCUAAACUGAAGUUGGACUGUAUUUCUGUUAAUUUGAUUGAACUCCAAGCCCAUUAGCUUGUAUGGGUCGAAAAUUUGAUUGAAAUAACUUUUUAAAUGGGCCAUACAAAUUGUUAUUCUAAUUUCUACAAGCUCAUUUAGCUAUGAAAGUAUUUUUUGAGGUGAGCCUAAAACCCUAAACCCUGGCCCAUAAUAGCUUUAGCCAAAGUUUCUCACAUCACCCGUUGUCCUCUCAAUUUUCUUGUCAUUAGUUCGAACUCCCAAAUUUCUUACAAUCGAUCUCAAAGAUGGCUUCCAAGUGCAGCAGAAUAAUUAACAGGGCUUCAAUAUCGUCCUUCAAAUCCACCAUUAAAUCGAAUAUUCAAACAGCUUCCAAAGCUUCCAUAGACAGACCUUCGACCAAAUCGACAUCAUCACCACUUCGCCGAUUCUCUCUCUCCAG
rnacentral:lncRNA from 1 species